AGCUGCAUAGCUCAGGGGAAGAGUGAGUCAACUUCGAAUUCCCCAAAUUCUCAAACCACCAUUAACACCAAAAACAGGCGCCGGGCUCAUAACCCGGAGGUCCAAGGAUCGAAACCUUGUGCAGCUA